UUUUUUUAAUUUAUUUAUUUACUUUUUUAAUUUUGCCUGGAUGGGAGGUGUUGAGCUUAUGCUUUUUGGACUUAAGGAAAGUUAAUGAUUUUUAUACAUUUCAUUUCUUUAUAUGUCGCACAGUGGAGACGUCACAUUAAUAUGUAAGUCAGUUAAUUUCUUAAUGAGCGUUGUGUUGAAAAUUUUGAUAUAAAAAAUGCUAUUUAUGUCAUCUUUCUGAAAACAACGUCAGUCUAUUUUAUUGUAUUUGUUUUGCUUUGAGAUUGUCUCCGUCGGGUUGCCGUAGUGUGUGUCGUUUUGUUGAUACUCGCAGGUGUCCGCUGCUCCGUUUAGCCUCAGCUGGAGAAAAGUUUGGCUUCGUCACUCAGUCAAACAGAGUAACGUCACCGUGGCGAAACGAAGCAGCAGCACUUCCGACAGAAUGUAAACAGUUGAGUGAAGGUUAUUUUGGUGAUAUUUCACAGCAAACAGUCGCUGAUCCCGCUAACGCUCCGAGCUAGUUACCAACAGAAGUCCAACGGGAACAAUGGAAGGAAUUCUUUACAAAUGGACCAAUUAUAUGACAGGCUGGCAGCCCCGCUGGUUUGUCUUAGAGAAUGGAGUCAUCUCUUAUUACGACUGUGAGGAUGACGUCGGUAAAGGAAGUAAAGGAUCCAUCAAGAUGUCAGUGUGCGACAUUAAAGUUCAUCCAAAAGAUCCCACACGUCUGGAGUUGAUCAUUCCUGGUGAGCAGCAUUUUUAUGUCAAAGCUGUUAAUGCUGCAGAGAGACAACGAUGGCUGGUGGCGUUGGGCUCAUCCAAAGCUGGAACAUUGGAGAAUCACAAGCACAGAGGUACACAUGGCACUGUUAAUUUGUUAUGUUUGUCUUUAAGUUAAUUUUUGUGACUAUUUGUCUGAGACAAAUCUUCGUGGUUGUCGAACACCUGCUUUUAAACUUUUUAAACUUUUAGUUUAGCAUUUUUAGUCAUUUCUUGACAAUAGUAAGUCUUACUUGUUUUGGGUGAUAUUUUGACAAGUUCAAAUAUAAUGGUUUUUGGAGUUUUUAGUACAAAUGUUGUUUCAGGGCAUGUUUCAGGUUAAAACUUACAUUUUGAAUAAUUUAGCACAGUUUUUAGCACAAAAUAUUCUCUUGGUAGUAUGUUUUGGGGAAUAAACUUACAUUUCUGGGAAUUAUUUUUUGCAUUUUUAAUGAUAGUAAGGCUAUA